rnacentral:rRNA from 1 species
UACGGAGGGUGCAAGCGUUAUCCGGAUUCACUGGGCUUAAAGGGUGCGUAGGCGGGCAGGCCAGUCAGUGGUGAAAUCUCCGAGCUUAACUCGGAAACUGCCGUUGAUACUAUUUGUCUUGAAUAUUGUGGAGGUAAGCGGAAUAUGUCAUGUAGCGGUGAAAUGCUUAGAUAUGGCAUAGAACACCAAUUGCGAAGGCAGCUUACUACACAGUUAUUGACGCUGAGGCACGAAAGCGUGGGGAUCAAACAGG